rnacentral:rRNA from 1 species
AUUGAACGCUGGCGGCAUGCCUUACACAUGCAAGUCGAACGGUAACAGGUCUUCGGAUGCUGACGAGUGGCGAACGGGUGAGUAAUACAUCGGAACGUGCCCGAUCGUGGGGGAUAACGGAGCGAAAGCUUUGCUAAUACCGCAUACGAUCUACGGAUGAAAGUAGGGGACCGCAAGGCCUUGCGCGAACGGAGCGGCCGAUGGCAGAUUAGGUAGUUGGUGGGAUAAAAGCUUACCAAGCCGACGAUCUGUAGCUGGUCUGAGAGGACGACCAGCCACACGGGGACUGAGACACGGCCCAGACUCCUACGGGAGGCAGCAGUGGGGAAUUUUGGACAAUGGGCGCAAGCCUGAUCCAGCAAUGCCGCGUGCAGGAUGAAGGCCUUCGGGUUGUAAACUGCUUUUGUACGGAACGAAAAGGCUCUGGUUAAUACCUGGGGUUCAUGACGGUACCGUAAGAAUAAGCACCGGCUAACUACGUGCCAGCAGCCGCAGUAAUAC